GGUGGAUGACUAGGCUCAAUAGUCGAUGAAGGGCGUGACAAGCUACGAAAUGUUCCAGCGAGGUGCAAGUAGCCAUAGAACUGGAAAUCCCUGAAUGAGACUUCUCAUUAAAUCCGAAAGGAUGGAAAAUGGGGGGAAUUGAAGCGUCUUAGUACCCCCAAGAAAAGAAAUCAAUUGAGAUGUCGUUAAUAUCAGCGAGAGAAAGCGACACAAGGCAAACCGAAUCUGUUGCAGUAAUGUAAUAGACAUGUGGUGUUAUAAGACCUGCAUUAAAUUCCUAAUUAAAUAAACUGAAGUUCUUUGAAAAGAGACACCAUAGAGAGUGAUAGUCUCGUAAGUUUAUUUGAUGGAAGGAGCAGGUAUCUUGAGUAUUGUCUCUUAGAUAUGAGGCAAGAAUUUUGGAGUCAUCAAUUUCAAACCUUAAAUACUAAUUGAGACCGAUAGCAAAUAAGUACCGUGAGGGAAAGUUGAAAAGAACCCUUAACAGGGUGUUAAAAGAACCUGAAAUCUAAUGGAGAUAGCAUGUUACGGCUUUUAGGAGUUGUAACGUACGUUUCGAAUAACGGGCCAGGGAGUUUGUUUAAGUGGCGAGGAUAAUCUUUAGAGCAUCCGAAGCGAAAGCAAAGAGUCCGCAGUUUACAAGGGACUAGGUAUUAAUGUGCCAGAAGUCACUUGAGCAAGACCCGAAACCGAGCGAUCUAACCCUGAGUAAGGUGAAACGAAUUUUUUAAUUCGUGGAGGCCUGAAGAGUUACUGCGUGCAUGCGUUCUUCUAACUUGGGGCUAGGGGUGAAAAGCCAAUCGAGCUCGGUUAUAGCUGGUUCCCACCGAAAUUGAUCUAAGUCAAGUCUUAGUUGAGACUAAAAAAAGGGUAGAGCUACGGAUUGAAGGCAUUGGGGGAGAAAUCCCUCAUCCUUUUGUCCAACUCCAAAUCUUCUUUUGUCUUUGAAGCUAGGAAACGGGGGCCCGCGGUAAGCGUGGGUUCCGAGAGGGGAACAACCCCGAUUGUAAUUAAGGUCCCAAAAUACUAAUUAAGUGUUAAAGGGUGAAAGGUGUAUAAUGUCCAAGACAGCAGGAAGGUAUGCUUAGAAGCAGCAAUCCUUUAAAAAGUGUGUAAUAACUUACCUGUCAAGAUCUUGUGCCCUGAAAAUGGACGGGGCUAAAUUAGUUACCGAUAUUACAAACCUUAACGAAUGUUAAGUGUGGUAGGUGGGCGUAUUAUUUGGACAGAAGCUUUUCUGCGAAGAGAAGUGGACCGAAUAAUAAUGAAAAUCCUGGUGGUAGUACGAUCUAUAUAGUGUGAAAAUCACUAGUACCGAAAGGGCAAGGGUUCCUUAGCACUGUCAAUCAGCUAAGGGUAAGUUGAUCCUAACCGAGGUCUUAACCAGACUAAUCGGGAAAGGGAAAAAGGUUAAAAUUCCUUUACUAUCUAAGUACACGCGGCAACGCAAGCCCAAUUUCUGACACUUUCGGCUAGACCAAUAUUAAUUGUCGUUAAUAUUAAUCAAAAUAAAUCAGGGGAGUAUCCUAAUGAUGAGAACCUGAUUAAAUUUGAGAUGAGCUGUCUUUAAGAUAGUUUGGUUGAUGCCAAGAGUUCGUAAAAAAGAAAUUAGGAAGGAUCUUAGAUAAUCAUACCCAGAACCAGCACUGGUGCCCCUGGGUGAGAAGCCUAAGGUACGAGGGUUUAAUCUAGUUAAGGGAAAUCAGCAAUUUAGCAGCGUUCCUUUGGUUUAAGCUGUCCCUGUGAUUGUAUUUGUAUAAAUGCGAUCACAAGGUUCAAUAACAAGGGGGGUCCGACUGUUUAAUAAAAACUUAACCUUCUGCUAAUCCGAAAGGACUUGUAUAGAAGGUCACGUCUGCCCAGUGCAAGUACUCGAAACUUCCUUUCAAGGAAAAAAAGAGCUUGUAAACGGCGGGAGUAACUAUGACUCUCUUAAGGUAAGCACAAAGUUGCCUUAGUAAAAUUUGGCUAUAUGCUGGAACAUCCGAGUAUCCCACACUACCAUAAAAUUUAUUAAGGAUUAUUUAUACCUUAAUAUAUGGUGACAAUGUGAUGGGUGCGGACAAUCAGCAGGAAAGACUAGAUGUGAAAUGGAUUGUUGGUUUCGUAGAUGGCGAAGGUUGUUUUCAUGUAGCUCUAAACAAGUUACCGAAAAUGACUCUUGGUUGGCAGGUUCUGCCUGAAUUCAGAGUGGUUCAACAUCAACGUGACGAAGCAGUUCUCCAAAAACUAAAAACUUAUUUUGGAUUUGGAGAUAUUCGCAGAAAUCAUGGAGAUCGAAAAGAGUUUAGAGUAAGGGGUUUAGAAAAUUUGAAUAAAUUAGUUCAUUUUUUUCAAAAACAUCCGCUCCAAACAUCAAAACAUAAAAGUUUUGAACUUUUUUCAGACAUCUUAAAGAUGAUGAACCAAAAACAACAUCUGACUCAGAAAGGACUGAAAAAAAUUGCUAACCUAGCGUCACAGAUGAACCGCAAAGUCAGAAGAAAUCUCUAGAAUCCUCAGAGACUAUACGCCAAACCAAUUGUAGUGUCAACUGAUGCUUGCAGUUGGAAGAUAUAGUCCGACCCACUAAGCGAUUAGUGGAGAUAUACAGAAAUGUAUAUCCGCCUUGAUUCAAGGUCAGUAUUCAAACUUUUUUGGUCAAGUUUUAAUUUUGAUCAAACUUUUUUUAAAAGUUUGGAGAAGUAACAGAUGUGAGCGAAAUACCUUGUCGUUUAAUUGACGACGCGCAUGAAAGGCGUAACGAGAUCCCCACUGUCCCUAACAAGAAUCCCCUGAACACACUAUACUGGUGCAAAGGCCAGUGACCUCCAGUGGGAAGCAAAGACCCCGUAGAACUUUACUACAACCUAUUAUUGUAAUAUAUUUUCUGUUGUUCAGUAUAGGUGGGAGUUGUUAAAGCUUUUUUCGUCAGGAAGAAGUGUAAACAAAAAUGAGAUACCACCCAACCGAGAAUAUGUUGCUUACUCAUCUAUGAUGAGGACACUUGUAGGCGGGUAGUUUGGCUGGGGCGGCACCCAGCUGAAAAGAUAUCAGCUGGGCCCAAAGGUUAACUCAACAGGUUUAGAAGUCCUGUGUAGAGUGCAAAAGCAAAAGUUAGCCUGACUGUGUUUCUAACAAAAAGAAACGCAGAGACGAAAGUCCGGUUUAGCGAACCUCUAUACUCCUUUGAUGGGAGUUAGAGAUGACCGAAAAGCUAUCUCGGGGAUAACAGAGUUGUAGCGCCUAAGAGCUCAAAUCGACGGCGCUGCUUGCUACAUCGAUGUCGGCUCUCCGCAUCCCAGGAGUGCAGAAGCUCCUAAGGGUGGGGGUGUUCACCCAUUAAAGCGGAUCGUGAGCUGGGUUUAAUACGUUGUGAGACAGUAUGUAUGAUAUCUACUGGAGGUGUUUAAUGUCUGAGAGGAAGGACCAUUUAGUACGAGAGGAACAAUGGCUCGGAGCCUCUGGUCUAUCAGUUGUCCGACAGGGCAGGCUGAGCAGCUACGCUCCAAGGGAUAAGUGCUGAAAGCAUCUAAGCACGAAACCCACCUCAAAAAGAGACAUCAGGAACUCCCAUAGAAGAUGGGUUUGAUAGAAUUGGCGUGUAAGUG
rnacentral:rRNA from 1 species